rnacentral:rRNA from 1 species
AGUCGAACGGGAGAAGGUAGCUUGUUGCUGCCACCUAGCGGCGGAGGGGUGAGUAAGGCUUAGGAAUCUGCCUAUUGCCGGGGGACAACGUUCCGAACGGAAAGCUACUACCGCACACGUCCUACCACUGAAAGCCGGGGACCUUCGGGCCUUGCGCUAAUAGAUGAGCCUAAGUCGGAUUAGCUAGUUGGUGGGGUAAAGGCCUACCAAGGCCACCAUCUGUACCAUGUCUGAGAGGAUGAACCGCAAAACUGGGACUGAGACACGGCCCACACUCCUACGGGAGGCCGGGAGGGGAAUAUUGGACAAUGGGGGGAACCCUGAUCCAGCCAUGCCGCGUGUGUGAAGAAGGCCUUACUGCCCUAAGCACUUUAAGCUAGGAGGAGGCUACUAGUAUUAAUACUACUGGAUAGUGGACGUUACUCGCAGAAUAAGCACCGGCUAACUCUGUGCCAGCAGCCGCGGUAAUACAGAGGGUGCGAGCGUUAAUCGGAUUUACUGGGCGUAAAGCGUGCGUAGGCGGCCAUUUUUUCAAAUGUGAAAUCCCCGAGCUUAUCUUGUGAAUUGCAUUCGAUGCUGGAUGGCUAGAGUAUGGCGAGAGGAUGGUAGAAUUCUGAGUGUAGCGGUGAAAGCUGUAUAGAUCUGGAGGAAUACCGAUGAGCGAAGAGCAGCCAUCUGCUCAUAAUACUAAUUCGACUGAUGAUACGACAAGCAUGGGGAGCAUCACACGAUUAUAUACCCUGGUGAGUACCAUGCCGCUACUACGAUGAUCGUACUACUCCGAUGGUGUGCCUAUUGACGCGCUAUAGCUGCCGCAGCCUAACGCGCUAUAAGUCAUACCCGCCUGGGGGAAGUACCGCUCGCAAGGACUAAACUUCAAAUGAAUCAGAAGGGGGGACNGCACCAAGCGGAUCGAACCAGUGUGGUUUAAUUCGAUGCAACGCGAAGAACCUUACCUGGCCUUGACAUACUAGAAACUUUCCAGAGGAUGGAUUGGUGCCUUCGGGAAUUUAGAUCCAGGUGCUGCAUGGCUCUUGUCAGCUCGUGUCGUGAGAUGUUGGGUUAAGUCCUGCAACGAGCGCAACCCUUUUCCUUUCUUUCCAGCAUUUAGGAUGGGAACUUUAAGGAUAUUACCAGUGACAAACUGGAGGAAGGGGGGGAGGAGGUCAAGUCAUCAUGUCCUUUACGGCCAGGGGUACGCGCGUGCUACAAUGGUCCAUACAAAGGGUCAGCGCCCAGCGAUAGGACGAUAAUAUCACAAACUCGAUAGUACUCCGGAUUGGAGUAUGCAACUCGACUCCUCGAAGUCGGAAUCGUUAGUAAUCUCGGAUCAGAAUGUCGCGGAGAAUACGUUGCCGGGCCUUGUACACACCGUACGUCACACCAUGGGAGUCUGGAGCACCAGAAGUAGGUAGUCUAACCGCAAG